rnacentral:rRNA from 1 species
CUUUCUUUGCUGGCGACCGGCGCACGGGUGAGUAACACGUAUCCAACCUGCCCUUUACUCGGGGAUAGCCUUUCGAAAGAAAGAUUAAUACCCGAUAGCAUAAUGAUUCCGCAUGGUUUCAUUAUUAAAGGAUUCCGGUAAAGGAUGGGGAUGCGUUCCAUUAGGUUGUUGGUGAGGUAACGGCUCACCAGGCCUUCGAUGGAUAGGGGUUCUGAGAGGAAGGUCCCCCACAUUGGAACUGAGACACGGUCCAA